rnacentral:tRNA from 2 species
GGUUUCAUAGUUCAGUUGGUUAGAACGAAGGACUGUUAAUCCUUAUGUCGCCCGUUCGAGUCGGGCUGGAACCUCCA